CCCCGCCCCCUCCCCCUCCCCCUUACCCCCCUUCCCCGCGGGCUUUUCAGGAAAUGACGUCCCACCUAGCGCCGGGCGGUUGCCUGGAGACGGGGUGAAACAGUCCAGCCCCAGGGAAAAAGGGGUGAAAGUGGGAGUAGGGUUGGGAGGAGCUCCGGGGGUCCUCUUCACUUUUCCAGCAGAGAGUGAACCUCAAAAACGGCUCUUCCGCGAUGGAAGCAUGUGCAUCAAGAUCUCUUUGAAGCAAUUAGUCGGCUAGCUAAAUUAACAAUUGUGGCGGAAAAUAGCCAACUUUUUGCCUCUAAAAUAUUGAACAUUUCGGGCUCAGUUUCCUACCUUAAAACGUUGCGCUCCCCUCUUGCACGCACUGACAUACAAGUUCAAGUGUUUAUGUGGACACUUGUUGGACACCCACUGUGUUCAAAAGAUACAUACAAGUAUAUACUGGUACCUGUGGGAGCCAACUCCUCUGCGAGGAUACAUCAGACUGGACCCCUUUCCAGCCUUCGGUAGGCAAGAAAACCGUUUUCAGAAAGGUCAAGUGUGCACAAUGCAGAUGUGCGUGCACACACACGGAAAUUCAUGCUUAUAAAACUGAUGAAAUCUGCAUAAGGUGGGAGGAUUGUAUUGAAGUCGUUGUUCAGCAUGUCCCCUCGAUGAGACGCAGCGUGUAACUGUGCUCAAACCUCAAGAAUCCUAUUUCAUGUCUGAAGAUGUGCUUGUUGUUCUGAAAUAAGGUCUUGGGAAUCCAAGAUGUCUGGGCUCCUGAGGGCUGCAAUGCCUCCUUCGGGCCCAGAGUGCAAGAGCAGACCUGGUCCUGGUUGCAUACUGCCCUCUUCAGAAGGAAAAUAUUAUUAUGCUGCAGGCUUCCCUUCGCUGUCUUCACCAAAGCCGCUUUACAUAGUUCAUUAUCCUUCCUCAACUCUGGCAAAUCAAGCCCUUCUCCGAUGGAUGUUCCUGGAAAAUCCCGAACACCUGGGAACGGUUGAAAAGACAGAAAGAAGAGUGAAUUGUACUCAGCUAAGAAGUGCUCUGUGUUGAACUGGAUUUUUGGUUGUUGUUGGUUUAUGAUGUGUUUGUUUUCAUCAAGAGACAGCAUAUCCGGUUGCAGUCUGGAUAACUCGCAGAAAGCCACAAAUCUAUUCUCAGAACCUCCCUUAUCUGGUUGAAAGA